AUAGCAAGGGAAAGAAAUUUUGGUGUAGUUCUGACUUAAAGAGAGAAAGGAAACACAAGUUCAAAUUUACUGAUCAAGGGGUAGGAGAAUUACCCAGGAGGGGCAGAAGCUUUUAGACUAUUGGAUUAUUGACGUGAUAUUUUCCUUGCCAGGUUUCCCCUUUUCAGGUACAGCAGUCACUCAGAUGACUGCACUGGAUUGGAGGAGGUAAGAUGGAGAGAAGAGGGCUUAAAUCUUAUGGAAGCUGGGAGAGGUCUGGAUAUUGAAGGCAGCAAACAGACACAGAUGACUCAGGUGGCAAGACAAAAAGGGGAAUAUAGACUUGGAAGGCAUAAGCAUAAAGAUAACAGUUAAAGCCAUGAGAUUGACUUUAGGGGAAAGGUGGGGGGGGAAGUAUAGAAAAAAGAAUGAGUAUAGAAGUAUAGAAAAAAGCUGAGCCUUGUGGAAUAUCUGUAGUUGGAGAAAAACAAGAAAAGGAACUCAAAUUACUAGCCAAGCUCUCCUCAUGCCUGUGGUGAGAUUAACAAUUCCAGCCCCCAUGAGAUCAACCAGGUACUGUGCAAAAGCUUUCCUUCGUGAUGGCCCUCAUGGGAACACGCAUGCUCUGCAGUAAACAGGACUUCUAUCUCUGCCCACUGUGCUUACCUGGCUUCCAGAGAGAAGACACUGGUAAUGGCAUUCUCUUCAGGCUGCUGAAAGGAGACAAGAGGCUGGAAAGAAGCUAACAUGGAGAACUUCAAUCAUGUCCUUAUUACCAGCUUUGCUACACUAGAGACUUUGAGGAAUUUUCCCCUUUGGAUAAGAUCUGGGAUUUUAUCUCUUGACUGAGCUGAGUAAACUUGCUUCCAAUGGGA